rnacentral:rRNA from 1 species
AGCUAACGUUGGCGGCGUGCAUAACACAUGCAAGUCGAACGCGCCGUAGCAAUACGGCGAGUGGCAGACGGGUGAGUAACACGUGGGUAAUCUCCCUCCGAGUGUGGAAUAAGCUCCCGAAAGGGGGUCUAAUACCGCAUGACGCCGGAGUGCAUAAGCACUCUGGUUAAAGCCGCAAGGCGCUUGGAGAUGAGCCUGCGUCCUAUUAGCUAGUUGGUAGGGUAAUGGCCUACCAAGGCUCAGAUGGGUAGCCGGCCUGAGAGGGUGAACGGCCACACUGGGACUGAGACACGGCCCAGACUCCUACGGGAGGCUG